UAAACCCUAACCCUAAAAACCAGAAAUAAAUCCGAGCAGUAAAAACUCUAAUUCCCGACAAACUUCAAACAGCUCUAUCCCUCAACUUCGGUGGAUCCAGACGACGAGCCAGAUACCAAAUUAAAGCUCUUGACGAGACGAAGCCAACGCCGCUAACCCCACAUCAAUCGGAGUUCGGACGCGCCCCCACGCUCAGCUACAAUACAAGCGGAAAAUUUGUUCCAGAAACCAAAAUCUCUCUCAACCAUAUACCAG
rnacentral:lncRNA from 1 species